CCCUGAUUGAGAAUCACUAUUUUAGAGAAAGAUUUUUCUUCAUUUCUAGCAGCUAUUCUAUACAUGUUGAAGUUUUCAGACCUUAAGUCAGUUCUUAAUCUUUUACCUAGAUGUAAGUAUAGGGGCCGGCCCAGUGGUGGGGCCGUUAAGUUCCCACACUCCACUUCAGCGGCCCCGGCUUCGCUAGUUCGGAUCCCAGGCGUAGACCUAGGCACCGCUUAUCAAGCCAUACUGUGGCAGGCGUCCCACAUAUAAAGUAGAGGAAGUUGGGCACGGAUGUCAGCUUGGGGCUAAUCUUACUCUAAAUAAAUAGAUAAACUGAUAAGUAUAGCUUCUAAUCAACCUGUUUUCUUCCACCAAUUAGAACCAUCAUGAUUUAGUGAAAAUAGUUUUCUACUCGAUAUACGAUUACUGACUUAUGGAUAGUCUUUCGUAAAUCGCUUAACAUAGAUACUGUUUUUCUCUGGCUAGGAGAUGCUUUCUGCAUACUUUACAGCUCCACCACGACACAGAGGGUGAGGCAGUUAGAGUGCUUUGUAGUCGUGCUGUACACAGGGAUGAUGGCAAGCCAUAGACUGAAAAGCCAGGCAGUCAUGGGAUCAGAGCUGUGUGUUUGAAAAAUUGGCUGCAGUUUAGAGAAUGGAUUGGAAGGAAGCAAGGUAAGACUUAAGCUAGGACGUUACUGCAUGGAUACAGGGGAGGGAACGGGGUGCUGUAGUGUUGGGGUGGAAGUCAGGAUGUUUGCGAUGAAGUUGACAGGACAGCAGUUGAUCCGACACUGGAAGUAUAUAAGAUUAUGUUAUGCUGCAGUACAACAGUCCCCAGAAUAGGUGGUUUAGAGCAACUUCUACGUGUCUUGUGGGUGAGAUGGGGGGAAUUCUGCCCAUCUUACUGGGACCAAGUUACCAUUAAAUGUUGUCAGUUGCUGUGGCAGGGGAAAGUGAGAAGUGACAUCUGUCCCCUUGUGCUUUCCGUCUGACGAUGACAUUCCCCACUUGUGACCACAUUUGGGCAGGCAAGAAGCCACGGUCACACCUAACAGCCGGGCACUUAUUCACGAGGCAUUGGUGACAGUGAGCUCAGCUGAGCGACCCUCCUUAGAGGCACCAGGGCAGAGGAGUCCCAUCACAUUGCGUUCCCCGCCACAAGCAGCGCGGGGUUAGAUGUUCCCUUCUUCCACAGGUUCUUUUCGGCCACCCUGCUGCUGCGCUCCCCUAAGGUCAUCCCCGCCCAGUGCCAGGAACUGGC
rnacentral:lncRNA from 1 species